GCCGUCAAUUCAUUUAAGUUUUAACCUUGCGGCCGUACUCCCCAGGCGGUCUACUUAUCGCGUUAACUGCGCCACUAAAGUCUCAAGGACCCCAACGGCUAGUAGACAUCGUUUACGGCGUGGACUACCAGGGUAUCUAAUCCUGUUUGCUACCCACGCUUUCGAAUCUCAGUGUCAAUAUUAUGCCAGGAAGCUGCCUUCGCCAUCGGUAUUCCUCCAGAUCUCUACGCAUUUCACCGCUACACCUGGAAUUCUACUUCCCUCUCACAUAUUCUAGCACCACCAGUAUCACAUGCAGUUCCCAGGUUAAGCCCGGGGAUUUCACAUGUGACUUAAUGAGCCACCUACACUCGCUUUAAGCCCAGUAAUUCCGAUUAACGCUCGCACCCUCUGUAUUACC
rnacentral:misc_RNA from 1 species